GGAAGGGUCGCAUAGUGGUCUAGUGCGGCAGUUUCGAAAACUGCUGUGUCCGCGAGGGCACCGUGGGUUCAAAUCCCACCCCUUCCGCCA
rnacentral:tRNA from 1 species